UAAAGCAGUUCUAAACCUUUUUUAAUAUCCCCAAAUCCCUUUCUUAGUCCUUCAAACUCCUUUCGUAAAUCGCAUGCUUCAACCAAACCAAAUCGACAAAUCCUUUAAUAAACCAGAUCCCUCUCUCGGUCCUUCAAACUCCAUUCGUAAAUCACAACCAAUCCAUCACUGACGUUCGGCAUAAAGAUUUCUUCAUCUUCAAUCGCGAGUGGAAGCAACCAGUCCUUAUUAUGCGGCGUAUAAGAUUUGGUGCUUUUUGAAAGAUGGGAUCCAUCACUGUCUUCUCCAAACGAUUUAACAAAUAGGUUUUCCGAUUAAAUUCACGUAUUGAAGUAGAUUUUGAGUAAUUGUCAGAGGUGACAUUGUUUGCUGACACUAUUACAGUUCAACAAUUGGGAGUGAAGAUUUGGCAUACCAGAAAGGUCCUUUAGAGAGCUGAUCAUUAUUCCAAUCAAUUGCAAGCAGGUUCGUUUUCCAUAGAUUUGGUGUUAUUUUAAGUCUUCUUUAUCAUUCUUUAGGUAAAUUGUUUUAACUGAUUAUUUCAAAAUUUGAAUUUUUGAAAUUUAUAUCAAUUAUGGAUACUUAUCAAAGUUGUCUAAAUUGUAUCGUAUUUCCAAAUUUAUCAAGAUAACUUAUAUUAAAGUUUUAAUUGAUUCCAAAAUUUGUGUUAGUUUCCAUAAUUUUCGACAAUCACAAUAAUUUUCAAGUUUCUCAGAAUUUGUUCUUCUUCUUUUUUUGUAGAUCAUUCCAUUUAUUCUGCAGGUAUGUAAACUAAAUUAGAUUGUUAUGUAUUUUAAAUGUUUAAUCGCACUUUUUUUAAUCAUUUUCUGGAUUUUUUGUGAUUGAUUUUUUUUUCACAAUCAUUUAGAUAUUGAUUAUAUUAUGAAUAUAUUAAUCUUAUUGGUUUUGAAUUUAAGUUUGAAUAAUAUUUAACUAUUUAGGUAAAUUGUUUUGACUGAUUAUUUCAAAAUUUGAAUUUUUGAAAUUUAUAUCAAUUAUGGAUACUUAUCAAAGUUGUCUAAAUUGUAACGUAUUUCCAAAUUUAUCAAGAUAACUUAUAUUAAAGUUUUAAUUGCUUUCAAAAUUUGUGUUACUUUCCAUAAUUUUCGACAAUCACAUUAAUUUUCAAGUUUCUCAGAAUUUAUUCUUCUUCUUUUUUUGUAGAUCAUUCCACUUAUUCUGCAGGUAUGUAAACUAGAUUAGAGUGUUAUGUAUUUUAAAUGCUUAAUCGCACUUUUUUUAAUCAUUUUUCUGUAUUUUUUAUGAUUGAUUUUUUUUUCACAAUCAUUUAGAUAUGGAUUAUAUUAUGAAUAUAUUAACCUCAUUGGUUUUGAAUUUAAGUUUGAAUAAUAUUUAACUAUUUAGGUAAAUUGUUUUUACUGAUUAUUUCAAAAUUGAAUUUUUGAAAUUUAUAUCAAUUAUGGAUACUUAUCAAAGUUGUCUAAAUUGUAACGUAUUUCCAAAUUUAUCAAGAUAACUUAUAUUAAAGUUUUAGGGGCUGUUUGGCUAACCUCUUAAUGAAUCAUUAAGAGGUUCCCCUCUUAUUCGGACAGAGGUUAGUUGUUUGGUUGGCAAAAUAGCAACCUCUUAAUGGUACCAUUCAGUGCUGUACCAUACAGAAAUAAGAAGAUGCUGAAUGAAAAAAAAGACCCUUCCUACCCUUUCCCUUCUCUUCUCUGUAUGAAAACCUAGGGUUCACCACUUUCCCCCUUUCACCUCUCAUCACCAUCACCUCCGCCCCCACCCCUCUCCUCACCACCUUCUGCCGGUCGCCGCCCUGCUCCUCCCUCUCCUCACCACCGACCGCCAGUCGCCGCCCUCCUCCUACCUCUCUUCCACCCUUUCCCUUUCACCUCUCAUCACCAACACCUCCGCCCCCAACCCCUCCUCCUCACCACCUACCGCCACCCUCAUCCUCCCUCUCCUCACCACUGAACAAGGCCGCCUCCUCCUCCCUCUCUUCCACCCAACAGCGCCUCCACCCACCCAGGUUUGUACAUCGUUUUUUUUUACAUCUUUUUUUUUUUGUAUUAAACUGAUUUUUCAGUUACUUUACUCAUUAUUUCUUUGUGGUUAUGAUUUCGUUUUUUUAUGUAUUUGUUUAUUUUUCUGAUUUUUUUUUCUAUUAGUUUUUUCAGAUUUUUUUUCCAAUAUUUUACUCAUUAUGUUGAUUGAUGUUAUAUGUAGAAUGGUUAUGUUGUAUGUUGAAAAUUCAUAGAUGUUUUCGCUAUGUUGUAUGUUGAAAAUUCAUAGAUGUUUUCGCUAUGUUGUAUAUUGAAAAUUCAUAGAUGUUUUCGC
rnacentral:lncRNA from 1 species